UUGAUCCUGUCAAAACAAUCGGAUCACUAUUUCUUCGAUAUCCUCUCUCCUUUUACCCGUCCCUUCUCUCUCUCCCUCCGGAGACUUUUUAGGGUUUCGUUCCCGUUCGUCGUGACCCUUCGCCCUCCUCCUCUCCCCGAUCCCAAGAGAUGUCACAAACAAAAGAAGUGAGGUAUACCUCUCAAUCUAUAACACCUCCUCCGAGGGGGCGCAGUAGAUCAAGGUCGUCAUCAAGGUCAAGAGGCAGGAGUCGUUCUAGGCAUGUGGACUUGUUUUGAUGUUUAUUCGUCCCAAAUAUAUGCGAAAUUAAUAUCAGUCAUUCGCUUCAAUCUUAAACUGAUUUAUGCAAGGAGCCAGGAUUCAAGAAACCCCGGUAACAACUUGUAUGUCACAGGAUUGUCCACACGAGUUACUAGCAGUGAUCUUGAGAAGUAUUUUAGCAAAGAAGGGAGGGUAUGGAAUUCUAGUUUGUAUUGUUAUUAUGUAAUUCCUGGAAUUGGUAAUUACUUUUGCGGGUAGAUUCUGUUUUAAGGCUUUGGUAGUGUUGUCUUACUAUAGUAAUCAGGAGUGUGCUGUGUGCAGCUGUUAAUAUCAUCUGGUGCUGCUCAAUGUUUUAAUAAAUUGAAAGUCUUUGGAGUAUUCCAACUUUGUAGAAGUUUAGUUUCUAUUUA